GGCAAGGUGGUACAGUGGUUAGCACUGUUGCCUCACAAGAAAGAGGUUCUGGGUUCGAGUCCCAUCUGGCCG
rnacentral:tRNA from 1 species